rnacentral:misc_RNA from 1 species
GCAAAUGUUACCCCUGGAUGAUGAUCUACAAGUUGCAACUUUUGAACUGUUUGGAUUUGCAAAUUGAAGUUAGUAAGCUUGAUAGCUUACUUUUUGGUGUAAAGAGAAUAAAUUCAAGUUGUGAAACUUAUGCACUGGCCAGAAGUAUAAGCUUCAGCUAGAUAAUAUUUGGCCUAGAUUGUGGUUUAUUUUCUUGAGAGGUGUCCUGAAUGUUGAUGCCAAUUUCCUGUUGUCUUUGCCUUAUUUUUUUUUGUGUGGCUAUUUCUUAAAGUUAAGAACUAUACCAUAUAUAUACCAUUUUACUUGUCUAGGAUUCUUUUUUGGCUGGGAUUUGUUUCACCAUUAUAGUCUGAUCAAAUAUGUUUUAAUCAUUCACCAGGCUCCAAAAUCUUCAAG